rnacentral:rRNA from 1 species
GAUGAACGCUGGCGGCGUGCCUAAUACAUGCAAGUCGAGCGAACAGACGAGGAGCUUGCUCCUCUGACGUUAGCGGCGGACGGGUGAGUAACACGUGGAUAACCUACCUAUAAGACUGGGAUAACUUCGGGAAACCGGAGCUAAUACCGGAUAAUAUAUUGAACCGCAUGGUUCAAUAGUGAAAGACGGUUUUGCUGUCACUUAUAGAUGGAUCCGCGCCGCAUUAGCUAGUUGGUAAGGUAACGGCUUACCAAGGCAACGAUGCGUAGCCGACCUGAGAGGGUGAUCGGCCACACUGGAACUGAGACACGGUCCAGCCUCCUACGGGAGGCAGCAGUAGGGAAUCUCCCGCAAUGGGCGAAAGCCUGACGGAGCAACGCCGCGUGAGUGAUGAAGGUCUUCGGAUCGUAAAACUCUGUUAUUAGGGAAGAACAAAUGUGUAAGUAACUAUGCACGUCUUGACGGUACCUAAUCAGAAAGCCACGGCUAACUACGUG